rnacentral:lncRNA from 1 species
GCCUUAUGGGAUUUGUAGUACUUCGGGAGAGCCUCGGGCGUGCCUGGAGGGGGUUGUCCAAGCAACCCCGGUGGAUAGCAAAUCUAAGUGAUGCGCUAGUAGCUUCCACCCAUACAGGGGAAAAAACACUUCGUUUCGAACUCCUCUCGCCAUGGGAACUUGACUUUGUUAUUUCUUUGUUUGUCCGCAGCUUUCAAAUCCAAGACUUCGGAAUCUGAGUCCCGCAGUUCGCGCAUCUACUCGCCUGUACUUGGAGCAGGGAAGCUUUCUUAGAGAUGCAGUGGCCCUCAAAGUGACAGAAAUCCAGCCAGAUGAAGCUCCUGUGAGAGAAGGGUGUAUUGUCCAGGUCACGCUGAAGGAGGAGUGAUCCAAGGAAAACAGCUAUAUCCAUUCUUUUUGCCAUUUGCUCAAACCCAUCAUCACUGUAGAGAGCAUGGACCAGCACAUUCAACUUGAUUAAGAAAAUGUUGGAGGCCUGGCAUUGAUGGCACACACCUUUAAUCCCAGCACUCAGGAGGCAGAGGCAGGCAGAUCUCUGUGAGUUCGAGACCAGCCUGGUCUCCAGAGCGAGUACCAGGAUAGGCUCCAAAGCUACACAGAGAAAUCCUGUCUCUAAAAACCAAAAAGAAAAAAAAAAAAAGAAAAAGAAAAUGUUGGCUAAAGCCUUUUGUACUAUAAAUAUUGUAGAUGAAAACUGAAUUCAUACAACUAAGGAGUUUGCCCUGUGUGUAUUUAUUUCAUUACCUGAACAGUGUCUCCUCCUGACUCUAGAAAGUUCUUCCCCCACUGGUGACUGAAUCCUGGUACUGACUCUUCUAGCCACAAAGAAGGCACCUGAUCCAGACGUGCUAUUCUUGAGCACUGGCCCUCUGCCACUGGUUGAACACAGCUGUCCCGGUGGGCUACAAAGAUGUCCUUGAUGGUCAUAUCCUCACUGACUGAUGACUCGGCUGUGGCGUUCAUGGAGACUGUCCACAGCAGGGUGUGGCAUCUGGGAUCUGUGCUCUACAGGAUAUAGGUUGAGAAACUGGUUUCAUCUAAACCCUUCAUUUGAGAUACCAAGAUACCAGACUGUGAAGUCCCAAUGUCAAAGGAGAAACUUGGGAGGAGUAUGCAUUUAUAGUUCACUGAGACCACAGAAAUAUGCCAUGGCUGUUUUCAAGCUGUUCAAGGUCCACACUGAUGCCCUGGGCUGUGCUGCUACUGCUGCUGGUGGUGGUGGUGGUGCAGCUGCCAAGAUCCUCUCCCCAGCUGACUUCCUUAAGCUGCUUGGAGUUAAGCACCUAGCAUUCUGAAGGCCUCUUCAAG